ensembl:lncRNA
GGCCCAGGCCAUAUGGUGCAUCCGAGGUCCUCCUUUGUAAUCCUGGGUAAUUGAAAUCCUCUUCCUCAUUCGGACGUGGAAAGCCUUCCUCGGUGAAGAAAAAGGAAACCAUCAAUCACGGAGGAUCAACUAGGCUGGACCAGACCCAUGCCCUGUCCAAAAUAAGAUGCAGUGUCCCCACUGUCCCCAUUUUACUGAGGCACAGACUGAGGCUCAGAAAGGCUCCUGCCAGGUCACCCAGCUGUACAGAGUACCUCAUGAGAAUAAGAUGCUGAAGAAUCAAGGUCUCUUGACCUGUGCCCUUGACUCCAAAGAAGUAGCCCUUCAACUCAGGAGCACCACUGGUGUCCUCUGGAGCCCCCACACCACGCUGUUCGUAAUGACGACUACUGCAUUGGCACGUCUCGUUGGGGUUCAACUUCUGUCCCUGCAGCUCCUGAGCUGCGUGACAUGGGCAGGGGACAUCAACUUUCUGAGCCCGAGUUGCCUCUUCUGGAAAGCGGGAGUCAUGCCGUCUUGCUCGCAGGGUGGUGGCUCCAGCUCUCCACGGCCUGAUGAGCGUUUCAUGCACAUCCACCAACCGAGAACAUUUUGUCUAGCUUUCCCACAAUUUGUAUUAU